UACGGGAGGCAGCAGUGGGGGAUAUUGCGCAAUGGGGGCAACCCUGACGCAGCAACGCCGCGUGAAGGAUGAAGGUUUUCGGAUUGUAAACUUCUUUUAUCAGGGACGAAUAUUGACGGUACCUGAUGAAUAAGCUCCGGCUAACUACGUGCCAGCAGCCGCGGUAAU
rnacentral:rRNA from 1 species